UCCGCUCUUAAUAGGGUUCACGGCGUGUGAACCUAUACUUUGUAAAAUUCAUCGAUACUGCAUUCUGAUCAAAUGUGGUACUGUGAUGAUAAUCUUUAUGGGAGGAAGGAGACGUCCUUCCGUUAUGACCAUAUUGUCAUCAUGGAACUUUCGUUCUGAUGGAUUUUCUCUGUAUGGGUGAGCGUUUCUAAGUUUCAUCUUUUAAACGACAUUGCCUUGUCUCCUAAGAUGGAUAAGUCCUUCUUGUGAUGCACCGUUAGGGUGCAUACUUAUGUGAAGGGUUUGGAACACCUCAAACCUGGAUGGAUGCAAGCAUCACCCUUUGGUAAGGUGGUGUUUUCAUUUGUGCGUUACUUGAAGGUCUGUCGGAAAUUCUCAUUCUCUAGCACUUUGUUUGCAUUAAAAGGGGUGAGUUUUAUUUGAAGUUAAGAAAGAAAAGGAAUAUUAAAUUCUGGUCACAAUACUAUUACCGUGACACCUUCUUUUCUUCUUUUAGAAUUCACCUCCUUUUAGUGCAAUCCUAGUGUUCGGGGUGAGGGUUAAAGACUAGAUCCACGGAGCACUGUGCUCCUAGGGAAUUCUAGAAAUUAAUUACUUCUAGAACGGAACACAUAAGACUAUGUAUACAAUACAAGGAAAGGAAAAAGGUCUCUUAGGGGUACCACAAAGAAAAGAAUCAAAAUAGCUAAAAAGAGUCUGCUUCCUUUAUCAUAUAUAUGAGAUAGUAGAUCACCUUUUUUUUUUGAAGCAAAAAAAAAGGUGAUCUACUGUUGUAGUCUUCUUGACAUAUCAAGUCAAGAGGGCGAGGCUCCUAGCAAUGGGGGGAAAGGGGAGUGGGUAAGCGGGCUCCUUUCACUUGACUGGUUAGUUAGGAGUGAUCUUUUUUCUCAGAUGUUCGAGAUCUUUGUCUCGUAGAGGGUGAAAUGAGAUCUUCUUGGAACAAGGUCAGAGGCGUUGGACGGACCAGUUUCUUCUGAUUCCAAUGAUAGAUGGAUGGUCAGGUCGGUAACAUAUGGAUGGAGGACUUCUACAGGGUCUUCUCGUGCGCUCGACUAGCAAGGUGGUUUUGUAGGCGAACGAAAUAAGUUUUUGGAGGCGAGUGGAGUGAGGCAAUGAAAUUGUUUAGGAGAAAGAAAGGAGAGGACGAGUGGAGUUUCGAGAAUGAGAAUCAUAUAUUUUCUCAUUUCUUUUUCGUAGUAAGAAGACACUAAGACGCACCCACUACACACCACACACUCAGACGACUAGCGUGGUCCUUCUCCCAUCGAAGAGCCACGUAUCCAGGGUUGACCACAUUAUCACUGUUUUAUCAAGGUGUGGCCAUGGUCUCAAUUGGGUCAUUGUUUAGUAUGCCCAAGCUUGACAAUAGCUAUGGAUAUUUUGAGUCCCUCAGAACGCAACUUCGUUAUGAGUUGGAAGCCAAGACAAAUGGAUUCCACUUCAUAGGUACCAUUCACCUCAUGUGAAGG
rnacentral:lncRNA from 1 species